rnacentral:rRNA from 1 species
UUUUUCUGAGGUGUGGCUCGCACCUGUCUAACUAAACUUGAGCUACCCAAUUUUCAACACGGUUGCAUCGGUUAGCUGUCAAACAGUGCGGAAACGCGUUGUGCGACGGUUGACACAAACACAAACACUUUUGAUGAUCUAGGAUUUGAAUGAAAGUUCAUUUUUAUGAUGGAACCGACUGGUAAUGCGGUCGUCUAAAUCUAAAAAACAACUUUUGGCAACGGAUCUCUUGGUUCUCCCAUCGAUGAAGAACGCAGCGAAUUGCGAUAAGUAAUGUGAAUUGCAGAAGUGAAUCAUCGAAUCUUUGAACGCACCUUGCGCUCCCGGCAGAUCUAAUCUGGGGAGCAUGCCUGUUUGAGGGCCGCGAAUUGUUUCGAACGACAGCUUUUUUCUUGUAGAAGAGUUGGCGGAUCGGUAGUGAGGGUCUUUGCCAUUUACCGUGGCUCCCUCGAAAUACAUUAGCGCAUCCAUUUAAUAGGCAAGACGGACGAAAGCUCGAUUUUCGCCCCCUCUUCCCUGCCGGGUUUUGAUAAUAUCAGGACUUCGGAGAGCGGAGAGAAGGGUGAGAGCUGGACGCGACGUUUUGCUGGUUGGAGUGCUUCUGAACCCCGCCCAUGCCUUUCGCAAGAAAGGAAGGGAUUUUUCAAUUCAUCGGCCUCAGAUUGGUAGGACUACCCGCUGAACUUAAGCAUAU